ACGCUGGCGGCAGGCCUAACACAUGCAAGUCGAGCGGUAGAGAGAAGCUUGCUUCUCUUGAGAGCGGCGGACGGGUGAGUAAUGCCUAGGAAUCUGCCUGGUAGUGGGGGAUAACGCUCGGAAACGGACGCUAAUACCGCAUACGUCCUACGGGAGAAAGCAGGGGACCUUCGGGCCCUUGCGCUAUCAGAUGAGCCUAGGUCGGAUUAGCUAGUUGGUGAGGUAAUGGCUCACCAAGGCGACGAUCCGUAACUGGUCUGAGAGGAUGGUCAGUCACACUGGAACUGAGACACGGUCCAGACUCCUACGGGAGGCAGCAGUGGGGAAUAUUGGACAAUGGGCGAAAGCCUGAUCCAGCCAUGCCGCGUGUGUGAAGAAGGUCUUCGGAUUGUAAAGCACUUUAAGUUGGGAGGAAGGGCAGUUACCUAAUACGUAUCUGUUUUGACGUUACCGACAGAAUAAGCACCGGCUAACUCUGUGCCAGCAGCCGCGGUAAUACAGAGGGUGCAAGCGUUAAUCGGAAUUACUGGGCGUAAAGCGCGCGUAGGUGGUUUGUUAAGUUGGAUGUGAAAUCCCCGGGCUCAACCUGGGAACUGCAUUCAAAACUGACAAGCUAGAGUAUGGUAGAGGGUGGUGGAAUUUCCUGUGUAGCGGUGAAAUGCGUAGAUAUAGGAAGGAACACCAGUGGCGAAGGCGACCACCUGGACUGAUACUGACACUGAGGUGCGAAAGCGUGGGGAGCAAAC
rnacentral:rRNA from 1 species